rnacentral:misc_RNA from 1 species
UUUCCGUAGGUGAACCUGCGGAAGGAUCAUUAACGAGUUAGGGUCUUCCAGGCCCUACCUCCCAACCCUAUGCUUAUUUAACCUCUGUUGUUUCGGCUGUCCCGUCUCACAGCCGCCGUGGGAGUCUUCGCGAGGCACCCUCUUGCCAGCUUCCGCCGAUGGCCAACCUCAACACUCUUAAUGUAUCGUUUCAUUAUGUAUAAUUCUAUGAUUAAAUUAAAUCAAACCUUUCACCAACGGAACUGUUGGUUCUGGCAUCGAUGAACAACGCAACAGCAC